UUUACCAACGAAGUACACAGCAGCCCUAUCAAAGAACUUGAAAUUGGGGUCCCUAGCUUUAAGUCAGGGGUGCUCUGUUUCUCUGGGAUUCGCCUCAAGGCUUUUCAGCCUUUCUAGGCGAUAACCUCUCAAAAAUCGGAGACAUUCUAGCGUCCAGUCUCAGGUUUGGGGCCAUGAUGACUCAACGCAGCAUCCCCUCCCCGUGACAAACAGCGGUCUCCGCCUAUCCCCAAUCAAUCUCAACCAGGCACUCUGGGCGCCAGGAUUCCCAGUACUUAGCUGGUGGGUAAAGGGGCUCAUCCCCUUCCCCAUAACCCAGAAGGUUAGACGUCCCCUCCACCCAGUUUUCUGGAGUGCGGAGCUCUCGCCAGGAUUCUGCUCUCGGAAGGUUUAGAAGGAUGUAACCUCCAGACCGGGAAUUUAAGACGCAAGAACCAGCCAGCAAAUGUGGCAGCCUAGCUUUCAAACGAGACCUUAAGGUUCAUCCACCUGCCGAGCCUCUGGUGAGCCCCCUGCCCUGUGCCUGGUGCUACACUAGAAGCUGGGGUCAAGGCAGCAGCAAGACCUUCAAGGCACUCAGAUCUGAAGUCUGCUUGAAAGCUGAACCAUGCCACAGCCAUGUUCUAUUUCCCUCCAGCUAGGAUUUUCAUUUUAUCUCUCUCCUCCAAUAAGACUGGGACCUGCUCACAUCCCUCUGCAUCCUAAGAGCAUGUUCUUCCAUGGAAGGCAUGUUACGGAAUGGGAUGUAUCACUGGAGACGCAGAGGAAGGUGAUGGCUGCAGAAGAAAUAACCAGUGGGAUAGUUGGAGGCUAUAAAACCCGGUAUUUCACCGAAUAGGAGAGACUGAUGGAGCCAAGAAGCCAACAAAAUGGAGGAGAAGCUCCAGCAUUCCUUCUGAAGAUUCUCAAGGGAGCCUUUGUUCCAAGAUGAGAUGGGUACCAGUGAGUUAUGUUCAUUUAGUUCAGAAGAGGUAAUUCUGAGAUCCGGAGGAGGACCUCCAAACCUGGACUAUCCGACACUACUGUGUUAUUUCCUGACAUUGCCUCCUUGAGGAAGCCUACAGCUAUUCUGUUUGACAGAAUGAGAAGACAAGGAACUCAUUCCUGUCAAUCCAUCUUGGGAUUCCUGGACAGCUUAAGAAGCGUCAUUGAUUGGAUCUUUGGUGCUGAGGAGGAAAUGGCCAUCCACAGAGACAAACCACUGAACGGCACUUAGUGCUCAUGCCAACCUGACAUGGGCAGUGAUGGUUCCUGACAGAGCCCUUUCUGGAAACUAUCCCUUCACACACAUAGCCCCUACUUCCUUCUUUAAGUAGCCACACAGAGGUGUGUCUGUUAGAAGAUUGCAGGGGAGAAUAACUAGAUAGUGGCGGGGAAAGCCUUUGGGAAACUGAUUUCUUCUGCUUUUCUGGUUAUCCCUCUAGACAGGCAAUAUUUUUGUUGAAUGGAUACAAUCAGUGGUUUCUUGGAUUUGGAGGACAUAAAAUGAUGUGACUUAGGCUCAUUGGCACAUUGAUGUAUGGCACAAAUAAUAAAAACCCAGAGACAUAUUGGGGUUCAAGCUGAAGAUCAGGAAAGCAAAGCAGCUAACCACUAGGGAGACCUUUUACCUCUACCAA